CAGGAUCAGGCCUUGGCUGAUUGCAAAAUUGUUCACCGUGAAAAUUAAAUAUUGCACUCUCCCCGGCCUGAUCUGA
rfam:Caenorhabditis elegans chromosome I